AUAGUUCUCUCUCAUCUCUCUUAUAUCUCUUGUCUCUCUUGUCUGCCUCUCUCCACGGUCUUGUUCUUCCCACCUUGUCGCCUUGCCUUCGCCACAACCAUAGACAGAGAGACUCUGUCUCUCGUGUCUCCCUCUCUCCAUGCUCUCUCUCUCCCCCUUUCCUCUCCCGUCUCUUUCUUUCUCCUCCCCUCUUCUAGUUCAGAGGGAUUUGGGUUUUAAUUUUAAGGUUACUGAUUUGGGUUUUAUCUAACCAUUUGGGUGUUGGCUUGCUGUUGCUCUACCUUGAUCACAAAAGUGCUUAGCUUUCUCAUCUCUCUUGCCCUCUGAAGCUUCGAUAGUACUAUCUUGCUAAGAAAAAAAUUCCUUUUAUCCAUGGAAAUACAAUGGGAGUAAAACUACAACAGUUCAUAUUUGAUGCGUUUUCAUACGCACCUUCAACUGCACAUUUUGAGAGAUUGUUGUGUAGUUUUUAGCCUAAAAAUACAAACCAAAAAGUGGAGUGGAUGCAGAGAUAGUUGUUUCACGAGCCACGCCGCUCAUCUUUAUUACUUUGCUCCUCAUGCGCCUUCAAACCCUUCACUUGAGUUGAGAGUUGAGAUCUUCAGCCCAACCUUUGGACUUGGCCUCCAAAACUGACAAGUAUUUGUAGCCUUUGAGUUGAGAGUUGAUAUCAGGCACAUGCAUAGUGGUAUACAUGAGGUAAUAGGCCACAUUUAAUAACAUAUAUAUUUUCUGUAACAAAUUGAUUUUACAAUGCACAGGUACUUACAUGAGGUGCUAAAAACGUCAAACAUGUUAAGCGUGAUUGGGUUUGUUGACCCUGCUAUAAUUGGUGCUCUAGGGUGUGGAGACAUUAGUCAAAGAUCACGUGUCUCAGCAACUCGGUUUUCAUCAGCACAUCCUGACAAGAUUUUCUUAAUUCUUUACAACUCCGGAUGCAGAUUAUGUUGGUGAUCCAAACUGUCGUCAUUCUUCUAGCGGCUACUGUGUGUACUUGGGCAACAACUUGGUAUCUUGGAGCUCCAAAAAGUAACGCAGUCUCUAGGUCAAGCAUAUAGGGUGAGUAUUGUAAGCAAGCCUACAUGGAAGCAAAGAUAUCUUGGCUUAGAUAAUUUUUUCAUGAUUUGUAGUUGCCUUUAUCUUGCCCAAGUAUAUGGUGUGAUAUAUGUGUCCUCUAUUGCUAUGGCUUCCAAUCAUGUGUUUCACUCCAGGGCCAAGCAUCUUGAGGAUGACUACUAUUAUAUUAGGGAGAAAGUGAUUUGUGGUGAACUAGUUGUUAAUUUUAUAUGCUUCGAGGAUCAAGUUGCAGAUUUGUUCAGACAAAGGUUGUCCACCACACACUUCCAGUUCUUCCUCGACUUGUUUGCUUGUGGGGGGACGUUAGACAAAGUUUCAUCUAUAGUUUCAAUUUCAAACUCCUGAUUUUAUAUGUUGUUUAUAUUUUUCAAAUUCUAGAUAAGUUGUUGUGUUGUGUUUGAAGUGUUCAUAGAACUCACAUGUAAAUAGGGAUUUACCCUACUUCUUGUAAUGGUUGUAUUGUAUAGCACUUUCCAAUUAUAA